rnacentral:rRNA from 1 species
GAUGAACGCUGGCGGCGUGCCUAACACAUGCAAGUCGAGCGAACAGACGAGGUGCUUGCUCCUUUGACGUUAGCGGCGGACGGGUGAGUAACACGUGGAUAACCUACCUAUAAGACUGGGAUAACUUCGGGAAACCGGAGCUAAUACCGGAUAAUAUAUUGAACCGCAUGGUUCAAUAGUGAAAGACGGGUUUGCUGUCACUUAUAGAUGGAUCCGCGCCGCAUUAGCUAGUUGGUAAGGUAACGGCUUACCAAGGCAACGAUGCGUAGCCGACCUGAGAGGGUGAUCGGCCACACUGGAACUGAGACACGGUCCAGACUCCUACGGGAGGCAGCAGUAGGGAAUCUUCCGCAAUGGGCGAAAGCUUGACGGAGCAACGCCGCGUGAGUGAUGAAGGUCUUCGGAUCGUAAAACUCUGUUAUUAGGGAAGAACGAAUGUGUAAGUAACUAUGCACGUCUUGACGGUACCUGAUCAGAAAGCCACGGCUAACUACGUG